rnacentral:rRNA from 1 species
AUUGAACGCUGGCGGCAGGCCUAACACAUGCAAGUCGAGCGAGUGGCGGACGGGUGAGUAAUGUCUGGGAAACUGCCUGAUGGAGGGGGGCAACUACUGGAAGAGGUAGCUAAUAACGCAUACUAUCAGAUGAGCCCAGAUGGGAUUAGCUAGUUGGUGGGGUAACGGCCUAACUAGGCGACGAUCGGUAGCUGGUCUGAGAGGAUGACCAGCCACACUGGAACGUGGACACGGGCCAGACUCCUACGGUAGGCAGCAGGGGGGAAUAUUGCACAAUGGGCGCAAGCCUGAUGCAGCCAGGCCGCGUGUGUGAAGAAGGCCUUCGGGUUGUAAAGCACUUUCAUCGGUGAUGCGUGACCCGCAUAAGAAGCACCGGCUAACUCCGUGCCAGCAGCCGCGGUAAUAC